GCCUGCGUCCUUUAAAGCCCGUUCGCCCUGUGCGCGCUCCCGCAUCCUAAACGGGGGCGCACCGCGGCAUUUCCAGCGGCAUGGAGCUGCAGCAGGUUACAGCUUAAAGCCACAGCGUUCAUCUUCUGUCUUCUGUCGGUUCAGUCGACAUGCUCUGUUUGACAAGCGGACGCCUCGCGGAGAGACCGACUCAGCGCCUUUUCAUCCACACUCCAUUCUCUCAGCUGCUGUUUCAUUAGAAGAUGAACUGAUUAUCAGCCAGAAAGUCCAUCACAGAAGUUAGGUCUGCAUUCUUUCACUAGCUCUGAGCGCUGUUGGCUGUGCUGACAUGUAGCCUGGACUAAUAUCCAAGUGUUUCUAGGGCUGUUAUAGUUUAAAGCGUCUGCUGUUUGGGGGAGUUCGCCUUUUUUGGAGGGGGAAGCAUGGGCAGCACUGCGAUGGACUCCAAGGCGAAAGACAGCGGGAAGAAGAGUACAAGAAAACGGAGGACGCUGCGGUUGAACAUGCCGGACCUGAGCACGUUUGCUAUGCCUUUCCUAGAGGGCGACUCUGAUCAUGCUGAGAAGGACAGUGUGCGUAAGGGGGAGAUCAGCUGCCAUUCAGCCAGCCCAACCAAAGGCUUCUUCAGCAGAGGCCCGUUCAGCCGGCCCUCCAGCCCCAUGUCGGCCCCGGCUCGGUCACGAAACAGCCCUGGAUCCCCCAAAACCAUCUUCCCAUACCCUCCCCAGCAGGAGUCCUCGCCCAAAUCUCCCCGCAGACUCAGCUUUAGCGGUAUCUUCCGCUCCUCCUCCAAAGACUCCUCCAGCACCUCCGUCUCCACCUCCACCUCCACCUCCCCCGUCACUAUCAAACUCUUCUCCCGGGCCAGGAAAGCCUCUAGCCUCUCCUCACCACCCACUACUCCAACACAAGUGACCAAACAGCCUCCACCGUUCCCUUUGGAAAGCAACCGCAGUGACCCCGAGCAACCCGAGGAACGGCUUCGAUCCCUCUCCUCGCCCCUGGACACAGGCCAGCGCUUCAGCCUGCCCUCCGCUAAGCCACCCAUGACCCCCACCUCGGCACCCAUUUCUACCUCACGCACGGUUCACGGUUUACCCGAAGGCAUGCUGGAGAAACUUGACCUCGAGGAUGAAGCUGUUGAAGAGUCAGAGAGUGAUAUUUACAUGCGCUUUAUGAAGUCACACAAGUGCUAUGACAUUGUCCCAACUAGCUCCAAGCUAGUGGUCUUUGACACUACGCUACAAGUUAAGAAGGCCUUUUUUGCCUUGGUAGCCAAUGGAGUUCGCGCUGCCCCGCUGUGGGAGACAAAGAAGCAGAGCUUUGUAGGAAUGCUAACCAUCACAGACUUCAUCAAUAUACUGCACAGAUACUACAAGUCGCCCAUGGUGCAAAUCUAUGAGCUGGAGGAGCAUAAGAUUGAAACCUGGAGAGAGCUCUAUUUACAAGAAACAUUUAAACCUUUAGUCAACAUAUCACCAGAUGCAAGCAUAUUCGAUGCCGUGUAUUCGCUGAUCAAGAACAAGAUUCACCGCUUGCCCGUCAUCGACCCCGUCAGCGGAAAUGCACUUUACAUCCUCACGCACAAGAGGAUCCUCAAGUUCCUCCAACUCUUUGUGUGUGAGAUGCCAAAGCCUGCCUUUAUGAAGCAGACGCUGGAGGAACUGGGCAUCGGGACCUACAGCAACAUCGCUUUCAUCCACCCUGACACGCCUAUCAUCAAAGCCUUGAGCAUCUUCGUGGAGAGGAGGGUGUCCGCCCUUCCUGUGGUGGACGAGUCCGGAAAAGUUGUGGAUAUUUAUUCCAAGUUUGAUGUCAUUAAUCUUGCUGCUGAAAAGACCUACAAUAAUCUGGACAUUAGUGUCACUCAGGCUCUCAUGCAUCGCUCCCAGUACUUUGAGGGUGUGAUGAAGUGCAACAGACUGGAGACUCUGGAGACUAUAGUGGACAGAAUAGUCAAAGCUGAGGUGCACAGGCUGGUGGUGGUGGACGAGAACGCCUGCAUCGUGGGCAUCGUGUCCCUGUCGGACAUCCUGCAGGCCCUAGUGCUCACUCCAGCAGGUAUAGAUGCUCUGCAUUGCUAAAGCUCCUCUCUGUUCCCGGACCACCCUGCCCUCCCACUCCCUCCCCCACCAUAUACAGGUCUGAACAGAAAGGAGAAUGAGGUGGAGGCCGAGUGAUGCAUGUUGGGUUCUGCUGAGUUGUGUCAUGCUGCUGGAAGUGGAGGCUGGAGGUGGGUGUGGAGCUGGAGCGGCCCCCUGCGGGGGGGCUGCCAGAGGGGGUGCGAAGGGCGUGGGGUUGUGGACUGUAAUGCUGCUGAAAGCCGAACGUAUAAACAGGCUACGGGGCGACAAGGUGGACCACCAGGGAUUUCUUACUCAAAGGGAUUCUGCAAUCCUUUCCUCUCUUCUGAACCGCGUCACUGCAAGCGCACAAGCGUCACCUUUCACUACACGCGAAAACGUCGCCAUCUGGUGUUUGUUCUGUGUUUUACAAGCAUCACUAAACUUAGGACUGUACCAUCAUCACACUGAGGGGGGAGUUAUGUCAAGUGGCAGAGCAUUGAGAACUUUUUCCAAAGCAAAAUGUCUCCAUUUUCACGUUCUUUGUGUAGAAAGGAGCUUUGGCUUGUGGCUUUACUUGCACUUGCUAAUGACAUUCGAUGUCGUCCUUUGCUCAGUCUUCUGCAGUAUCCGUUUUCUUUUUAAUCGCCUCCUAAAAAAUGUCCCUGAAAGAAAUCCCCUCCCUCUGUCAAUGGUGCCUUCUGUCCACCAGUUGUCGCCCGUUAUUGAUGGCCGAGAGGGCGCGAGAGCAGUGAAUGUUCAAGUGUAUCAAAGCGAAUGGGAGAGUAUCUGAAAACCAAAAUUUCUUUGCAUUUUGGAUCUGUUGUCACUGAUUUUAUGAACGUUUAUAAUUUUCUUCUUUUGGACGGUUCUUUUUAUUAUUUCCAUAAGUUUUUUUUUUUUUUUUCUCUUCUCAAAUGAUGCUGUAAACAUAGGUUAGAAGGUUUAUUUAUUCGUGCUUUAAUAGCUGUUUUAAUUUUGACAGUAACGGUUUGAGUGGAAUGGAAAGAGAGCGUUCUGCCCCUAUGCAUCACCUGGUUCUGAUGACUUGACGACGUUCAAUGCAAUUCAAAAUUCAGCCGCUGCCUACAAGCCCUCAUUUCUUCUCUCCAGUUAGCGCGGAGGCAUGCAACGAAAACUCUCAUACUCUAUAUCGAGCGUACUGUACAUAGGAAGAGCUACAUGAGGCGUCUCCAAGUGCCAGAGAAAGGUCUAUUUUUCUGUGUAUUCAAUGUAUGAAUCAUGUUGUUUGUAAUAUUACAGAUUUUUUUGCUCCGUUUUCAGUUCCUGUCAUCUUUAUCGUGGCUGUGUUGUCGAUAAAGGUCACGGAUGAAAGCGUUUUGUCCACUGAACAAUGCACAGGCAUGAAUACGACACUACAGUGCUUCAACAUUGUGUUUGUUUUUGCUUUUUUUUGUUUUUUUUUUUCAUUUUGCAGUUUGAAAAACAAAAAUAAUAAAUCAUGCUACUGAAUCUUUGUAUGA